rnacentral:rRNA from 1 species
GAUGAACGCUGGCGGCGUGCCUAAUACAUGCAAGUCGAGCGAACGGACGAGAAGCUUGCUUCUCUGAUGUUAGCGGCGGACGGGUGAGUAACACGUGGAUAACCUACUUAUAAGACUGGGAUAACUUCGGGAAACCGGAGCUAAUACCGGAUAAUAUUUUGAACCGCAUGGUUCAAAAGUGAAAGACGGUCUUGCUGUCACUUAUAGAUGGAUCCGCGCUGCAUUAGCUAGUUGGUAAGGUAACGGCUUACCAGGGCAACGAUGCAUAGCCGACCUGAGAGGGUGAUCGGCCACACUGGAACUGAGACACGGUCCAGACUCCUACGGGAGGCAGCAGUAGGGAAUCUUCCGCAAUGGGCGAAAGCCUGACGGAGCAACGCCGCGUGAGUGAUGAAGGUCUUCGGAUCGUAAAACUCUGUUAUUAGGGAAGAACAUAUGUGUAAGUAACUGUGCACAUCUUGACGGUACCUAAUCAGAAAGCCACGGCUAACUACGUGCCAGCAGCCGCGGUAAUACGUAGGUGGCAAGCGUUAUCCGGAAUUAUUGGGCGUAAAGCGCGCGUAGGCGGUUUUUUAAGUCUGAUGUGAAAGCCCACGGCUCAACCGUGGAGGGUCAUUGGAAACUGGAAAACUUGAGUGCAGAAGAGGAAAGUGGAAUUCCAUGUGUAGCGGUGAAAUGCGCAGAGAUAUGGAGGAACACCAGUGGCGAAGGCGACUUUCUGGUCUGUAACUGACGCUGAUGUGCGAAAGCGUGGGGAUCAAACAGGAUUAGAUACCCUGGUAGUCCACGCCGUAAACGAUGAGUGCUAAGUGUUAGGGGGUUUCCGCCCCUUAGUGCUGCAGCUAACGCAUUAAGCACUCCGCCUGGGGAGUACGACCGCAAGGUUGAAACUCAAAGGAAUUGACGGGGACCCGCACAAGCGGUGGAGCAUGUGGUUUAAUUCGAAGCAACGCGAAGAACCUUACCAAAUCUUGACAUCCUUUGACAACUCUAGAGAUAGAGCCUUCCCCUUCGGGGGACAAAGUGACAGGUGGUGCAUGGUUGUCGUCAGCUCGUGUCGUGAGAUGUUGGGUUAAGUCCCGCAACGAGCGCAACCCUUAAGCUUAGUUGCCAUCAUUAAGUUGGGCACUCUAAGUUGACUGCCGGUGACAAACCGGAGAAAGGUGGGGAUGACGUCAAAUCAUCAUGCCCCUUAUGAUUUGGGCUACACACGUGCUACAAUGGACAAUACAAAGGGCAGCGAAACCGCGAGGUCAAGCAAAUCCCAUAAAGUUGUUCUCAGUUCGGAUUGUAGUCUGCAACUCGACUACAUGAAGCUGGAAUCGCUAGUAAUCGUAGAUCAGCAUGCUACGGUGAAUACGCUCCCGGGUCU